GCCGAAGUGGCGGAAUGGUAGACGCGCUGGUCUCAAAAACCAGUGGGGCAAAACCCCGUGCCGGUUCGAGUCCGGCCUUCGGCACCA
rnacentral:tRNA from 1 species